rnacentral:rRNA from 1 species
GCAAGUCGAGCGAAUGGAUUAAGAGCUUGCUCUUAUGAAGUUAGCGGCGGACGGGUGAGUAACACGUGGGUAACCUGCCCAUAAGACUGGGAUAACUCCGGGAAACCGGGGCUAAUACCGGAUAACAUUUUGAACCGCAUGGUUCGAAAUUGAAAGGCGGCUUCGGCUGUCACUUAUGGAUGGACCCGCGUCGCAUUAGCUAGUUGGUGAGGUAACGGCUCACCAAGGCAACGAUGCGUAGCCGACCUGAGAGGGUGAUCGGCCACACUGGGACUGAGACACGGCCCAGACUCCUACGGGAGGCAGCAGUAGGGAAUCUUCCGCAAUGGACGAAAGUCUGACGGAGCAACGCCGCGUGAGUGAUGAAGGCUUUCGGGUCGUAAAACUCUGUUGUUAGGGAAGAACAAGUGCUAGUUGAAUAAGCUGGCACCUUGACGGUACCUAACCAGAAAGCCACGGCUAACUACGUGCCAGCAGCCGCGGUAAUACGUAGGUGGCAAGCGUUAUCCGGAAUUAUUGGGCGUAAAGCGCGCGCAGGUGGUUUCUUAAGUCUGAUGUGAAAGCCCACGGCUCAACCGUGGAGGGUCAUUGGAAACUGGGAGACUUGAGUGCAGAAGAGGAAAGUGGAAUUCCAUGUGUAGCGGUGAAAAUGCGUAGAGAUAUGGAGGAACACCAGUGGCGAAAGCGACUUUCUGGUCUGUAACUGACACUGAGGCGCGAAAGCGUGGGGGAGCAAACAGGAUUA